rnacentral:rRNA from 1 species
AGCAGCCGCGGUAAUUCCAGCUCCAAUAGCGUAUAUUAAAGUUGUUGCAGUUAAAAAGCUCGUAGUUGAAUUUCGGGGUCAGUAGGUUGGUCGUGCCACUGGUACGUACUGGUCUCACUGAUUCCUCCUUCCUGAUGAACCGUAAUGCCAUUAAUUUGGUGUUGCGGGGAAACUGGACUGUUACUUUGAAAAAUUAGAGUGUUUAAAGCAGGCUAACGCUUGAAUACAUUAGCAUGGAAUAAUGAAAUAGGACGUUCGAUCCUAUUUUGUUGGUUUCUAGGAUUGACGUAAUGAUUAAUAGGGAUAGUUGGGGGCAUUAGUAUUCAAUUGUCAGAGGUGAAAAUUCUU